rnacentral:rRNA from 1 species
UACGUAGGGGGGCAAGCGUUGUCCGGAUUAUUGGGCGUAAAGAGCGUGUAGGCGGCCAGGUAGGUCUGCUGUGAAAAACUCGAGGCUCAACCUCGAGAUGUCGGCGGAAACCAUCUGGCUAGAGUCCGGAAGAGGAGAGUGGAAUUCCUGGUGUAGCGGUGAAAUGCGCAGAUAUCAGGAAGAACACCCGUGGCAAAGGCGGCUCUCUGGGACGGUACUGACGCUGAGACGCGAAAGCGUGGGGAGCGAACAGG